rnacentral:rRNA from 1 species
UACAGAGGGUGCAAGCGUUGUUCGGAAUUACUGGGCGUAAAGCGCGUGUAGGCGGUCUGGUAAGUCGGUCGUGAAAUCCCUAGGCUUAACCUAGGAACUGCGAUCGAAACUGUUAGACUUGAGUAUCGGAGGGGAUGGCGGAAUUCCUGGUGUAGAGGUGAAAUUCGUAGAUAUCAGGAGGAACACCUGCGGCGAAGGCGGCCAUCUGGAAGAUUACUGACGCUGAGACGCGAAAGCGUGGGGAGCAAACAGG